UCCUACGGGAGGCAGCAGAGGGGAAUUUUGGACAAUGGGCGCAAGCCUGAUCCAGCAAUGCCGCGUGUGUGAAGAAGGCUUUCGGGUUGUAAAGCACUUUUGUCCGGAAAGAAAACAUUCUCACUAAUACUGGGGGUGGAUGACGGUACCGGAAGAAUAAGCACCGGCUAACUACGUGCCAGCAGCCGCGGUAAUACGUAGGGUGCGAGCGUUAAUCGGAAUUACUGGGCGUAAAGCGUGCGCAGGCGGUUCGUUAAGACAGAUGUGAAAUCCCCGGGCUUAACCUGGGAACUGCAUUUGUGACUGACGGGCUAGAGUAUGGCAGAGGGGGGUAGAAUUCCACGUGUAGCAGUGAAAUGCGUAGAGAUGUGGAGGAAUACCGAUGGCGAAGGCAGCCCCCUGGGCCAAUACUGACGCUCAUGCACGAAUGCGUGGGGAGCAAACAGGAUUAGAUACCCUGGUAGUCCACGCCCUAAACGAUGUCAACUAGUUGUUGGGGAUUCAUUUCCUUAGUAACGUAGCUAACGCGUGAAGUUGACCGCCUGGGGAGUACGGUCGCAAGAUUAAAACUCAAAUGAAUUGACGGA
rnacentral:rRNA from 1 species